UUUUGUAGUUUUGGAUUCUCUGAUCAUGUCCCUCCCGCUUUCCAAACAUCCCCUCUCACAGUUCAGGUUUCCCUUGCCGUCGUCAUUCCAGCUGUCUCCAGUCUGCGUUUAUCCAGUCGGGCCUCGUCUCCACUACCCAUGCGGUCCCCGCAGACUCUGACCUCAGCUCUCCUGGCGGGCGUGAUUAGACGCUAUGCGGGGGGUUUAUGACUUUAUGGGCGGGGUGGGGGGGGUCUCGUCUCAUCGCACAUCAAGAUGCUGGAAUAACAAGUCAUUGGGAAUGACCCACCAGUGCUGGUAGAAGAGCUGUUCUACUUUCGUGCACAUGUUGCAAGGAGCUUGAGGAAACAUUAGAUGAAGGCGAACGGUCGCCAGCUCUAAGAGGCUAAUAACACAAGGUCUCUUAUCAGGCAGACCAUUAAUUGGCUGGCGGGGUGCAACUUGUCACCAUCAAAGGAAUGGCGCGGCGGGAGCGACGGGCAGAUAACCCCGCCGACAGGGAGAUGAAAUUGCCGCCAUCCAUCUGCAGCUAUGGCGGCCUGCGGCGGACCCUAUGAUUCCCCACGAUGAUAACAGUGGCCCGAUGCUCUCGCCGUGUGCAUUAUUGAUGGUCACACGCCGCCACCAUUUUAAGGCCUCAGCGGGGGAGCGUUCCAGAUAGCGAGCGCCACGGAUCAAGUCCAUCAAGGAACAUUUAAAGCGGCACAAGCAUGUAAACAAACACACCCGAGGAUUGCGUGGGAACGAUUGUUGACACACUUUUAUGGAAGCGGGCGUGCUAUUAUCAAACGAUGCUCUUUUUUUUAUCGUCACGUUUGACGCUUUUGUACAAUCGAUUUGUCAACAGCAGUGGCGGUUGUCAGCAGCUGCACUGCAACGAACAUCUGUCCUGCUUUUUAAGCGUAUUCUCUUUCAUCCACGGCAAGUGCACCUGUCGGCCACCUUGAGCAUAAAAGCGGGGUUGUUGUGAAGACGAGGAGGGUCGCACAUGUGUGAAAAUAGUCACGUGCGUUAAGUGUAAGCAUAUGGAUCUUUUCUAUCUGCAAAAACACACACCAUGUUUGUUUCUCAGACGAAAGGUUAAGCAUCAAGGGUACAAAACUAGAGGCUUGGAGGGUACUCAAAGGUAGCUUGUACCUUUUCCA